AGCAGCCGCGGUAAUUCCAGCUCCAAUAGCGUAUAUUAAAGUUGUUGCAGUUAAAAAGCUCGUAGUUGAAUUUCGGAAUCAAUACGUCGGUCGUACUUUCGUACGUACUGGUGUUAUUGGUUCUUCCUUCUGACGAACUAUGAUGUCAUUAAUUUGGUGUUAUGGGGAAUCAGGACUGUUACUUUGAAAAAAUUAGAGUGUUUAAAGCAGGCAUUAGCAUGAAUACAUUAGCAUGGAAUAAUGAAAUAGGACGUUCGAACCUAUUUUGUUGGUUUUUAGGAUCAACGUAAUGAUUAAUAGGGAUAGUUGGGGGCAUUAGUAUUCAAUUGUCAGAGGUGAAAUUCUUGGAUUUAUUGAAGACUAACUACUGCGAAAGCAUUUGCCAAGGAUGUUUUCAUUAAUCAAGAACGAAAGUUAGGGGAUCGAAGACGAUCAGAUACCGUCGUAGUCUUAACCAUAAACUAUGCCGACUAGGGAUCGGAUGAUGUUAAUUUUUAUGACUCAUUCGGCGCCUUAGGGA
rnacentral:rRNA from 1 species